rnacentral:rRNA from 1 species
UACCCGCGGCUCGAGUGGUGCUCAUUAUUAUUGAGCCUAAAACGUUCGUAGCCGGUUUGGUAAAUUCUUGGGUAAAUAGAAUAGCUUAACUAUUCUAAUUCCGAGGAGACUGCUAAACUUGGGACUGGGAGAGGUGAAAUGUACUUUCGGGGUAGGGGUAAAAUCCUGUAAUCCUGAAAGGACAACCAGUGGCGAAGGCGUUUCACUAGAACAGAUCCGACGGUGAGGAACUAAGCCCUAGGGCGCAAACGGG